GUGGGGAAUAUUGGACAAUGGGCGAAAGCCUGAUCCAGCCAUGCCGCGUGUGUGAAGAAGGUCUUCGGAUUGUAAAGCACUUUAAGUUGGGAGGAAGGGCAGUAAGUUAAUACCUUGCUGUUUUGACGUUACCGACAGAAUAAGCACCGGCUAACUUCGUGCCAGCAGCCGCGGUAAUACGAAGGGUGCAAGCGUUAAUCGGAAUUACUGGGCGUAAAGCGCGCGUAGGUGGUUUUGUAAGUUGGAGGUGAAAUCCCCGGGCUCAACCUGGGAACUGCCUCCAAAACUGGAAGACUAGAGUACGGUAGAGGGUAGUGGAAUUUCCUGUGUAGCGAUGAAAUGCGUAGAUAUAGGAAGGAACACCAGUGGCGAAGGCGACUACCUGGACUGAUACUGACACUGAGGUGCGAAAGCGUGGGGAGCAAACAGGAUUAGAUACCCGGGUAGUCC
rnacentral:rRNA from 1 species